rnacentral:rRNA from 1 species
CUGUAUAUCUCCCUGUUUUUGUUUUUAGGACAAUGUGGUGUUCAGGUGUGUACCUGGGAGCGCUUGCCUACCCGAAGUCCAAUUCCGAUUCUGGCUUGGAUACUACCCACAGCGGGUGAAAGGCCCGUACGGGUAGGCCCCUUGUUGCAAUAAGCGUUCCUCAGAUGUGCAUACCGUCGAGUCGGAUUGCUUGAGAAUGCAGUCCAAAGUGGGUGGUAAACUCCAUCCAAGGCUAAAUACUGGCACGAGUCCGAUAGUAGACAAGUACCGUGAGGGAAAGUUGAAAAGUACUCUGAAGAGA